AGUGGCGAACGGGUGAGUAACACGUGGGCAACCUGCCCAAAAGAGGGGGAUAACACUUGGAAACAGGUGCUAAUACCGCAUAACCAUAGUUACCGCAUGGUAACUAUGUAAAAGGUGGCUAUGCUACCGCUUUUGGAUGGGCCCGCGGCGCAUUAGCUAGUUGGUGGGGUAAAGGCUUACCAAGGCAAUGAUGCGUAGCCGAACUGAGAGGUUGAUCGGCCACAUUGGGACUGAGACACGGCCCAAACUCCUACGGGAGGCAGCAG
rnacentral:rRNA from 1 species